UUUCCUUUAUAACGCGGAAGUGAUGCGGGCCAUAGUUUUGGGUCUGUUAUUCGCCUACUCUGAUUCUGAAGGAAAAUAUCUGCCUUUUGGAGAAUACGAUCGAUCAUCUAUUGACAGUAAUAGUCACGGUGCGUCUGUGAAUGGAGGUGCGUCUUUGCGUCUUUGCGACAGUGUCCACUAAGCAUACAAUGCUUAUUUCGACCCUCUGCCCAACAAAGAUGGAGGUGCCAGUGGUAAUAGUGAUGAUAGUGUCCGUAAUGGACGUGCUACAGACAGCAGGGGUUGUAAAAAUAGUGCUCUGAAGAACUAGAAAGUCACCCGCGAUAGGAACUUAUUUAACCACACUGUAAAAAAUACAACUUGCCUUUAGUACUGCCAAAUAACUUUUCUGACUAAACAGAACUCAAAUAAUCAAAUAGUGUAGUAAAACUCAUUAUAACAAGUUUUCACAACUAAUUUGGGAAUUUCACCUAACAAACUUAAGAAACUGAGUUGACUCAACUUGCAUAAUUAAGUAUCUAUAAGAGAGAAGUUUCCCAAAGUUCACUGAACUUCUUAGUCAAGUUGGCGCAAGCGCAUUGUUUCCUAACGUAUCAAGGCGACCUGUGGGCUGCAGCUUGAAUUUGUCAGGAGGACAGAAGCCAGUCACCUUCCCUACCUGUACGCAGCGUGGAGCAAAUGACAACAGCAUUGUCAAAGACUCUUCUGUUGCAAUGCAAUGUAAGGAGUGUCCAUUUUCUCACCCGGAUGUAGAGACCCUCCUGACCCAUUACAGGCUUCAUCACGGUCACCAGGGAAAAAGCUGGCUCUGCCUCCACCCCAAGUGCAUGUGCAUCUUUAAGACUUCAGGAUGCAGAUGCUGAGGAGGACUAGAGGCAUGAAAAUUGGAAUCUUGACCGUCAUUGAAGAUGACCUCGCCAUGAAAGCGCCAGACACUGUCACCAAUAUCGCCAUCGUCCUGGAAGAGACUGUUGUUCUACAGGACAUCAAGGAUCUUCUAUCUGCACUGGCCUACCUAUGCGGACUCCUGCAUGACAUGGGGUGCCAAUACUUAUGACCCCUGUAUUUUAAGGAAGAACAUUUAUUUAUUUAUUUAUGAUUAUUAUCAUUAUUCAUUCACAAAGAAAAUUGGUGUCCUUAAAUGUUGGAUAUUCCCUCAUUUUUUAACUUAAGGCAUUAAGAUCAAUUUCUAAAAGAUGAUUUAAUAUUCCUCUUUUUAGUCAGCGUUAGCAGAGGUGCUAAUAAUUCUGUAGGGUACUGUAGGUCAGGGGUGUUCAAACUGGCUAAAAAUAAAAAUAUUGUUUGAUCUA